UUAUGUCCUGGACAGAAACUGAGGAACUCGGUGGCAUGUAAAAAGUCUUUGAAAAGAGGAAGACCAGCCACGAGAUGGAUCGACUCUCUACAGGAAGCCACAGGCUUGAGUUUACAACAGCUGAACAGGGCUGUGGAGGACAGGACCUCUUGAAGCGCGCUCAUUCAUAGGAUCGUCCCACGUCUGAAGCGACGGAAUGGCACACAAUGCUCUGCGCAAAAAAAUAAAAUAAAAAAAAAUUGCCAACUCUGCACACGCAGGGCAGCCACCCGACACUUCCGGCUCCUCAUUGGCAAUGCCUCCCUUUGGAGCGGAGCAGAGAGAGAGAACAUAGAACUAUGAAAAUGUGAGAGGAGUGGCUCCCUUUCAUUAUAUUCGUUGAGGAACCGGAAAUGAGAACAGCGCGCCUACGUUUCCCACUUUAUGGUCUUCCGUGAACGUCCGCGGGCGACGGGCCUCCUCGCGAGGAAGAAGAAAGGGCCCAGAAGGAUGCCAGCAACAAGGAUCCCUUUUUCCGUUGCUUGUGAUGGAGCUGAACCAGAUCAGGUACGACGAAGAGGAUUAAAAGAUAUGUGGAUCCGUUUGUAUUCUCCCACUUUAGUCCUGAAUGAGGCUUUUCAAUGAAAUGCUCCACGUUUGCAGUGCUUACAUACCAGACUGAUGCCAUGGUCCUCUCUAAGCAGAGAAGAGCAAUAGCUAUAAUAAUUGGCUGUUGCAACUGGGGAAGGAUUUUGUUUCUCUUCACUUUUGAAAAGGUCCAGGAUCUGUGAGGUGCUCUAAGUUUUUCAUGAAUGAAUGUGGGGACAGUAAGAAUUCCUGUCCUAUUGCCUUGCUGUGAAUCCCUCCCUCUUCCUCUCUCUCUCUCGCUCUCUCUCUCUCUCUCAGGACUUCUCUUGAUUUGUUGUAUUGGUUUCAGGAGGUUGUCUUUAGGAAACCAAUGAGGAGGCCUUGCUUUCUUUUCCAUUUAGGGUUCAGUGGCCUUUGAGGAGGUGGCCGUAUACUUCACUUGGGAGGAGUGGGCACUGCUGGAUCCCGACCAGAAGGCCCUCCACCAGGAAGUCAUGGAGGAGAACUGGAAAACAGCGUCCGCUCUUGGUAAGGCCCCCCCUUCUUCCCAGCUCAUGCUAAUCUCUCUUCAUACCAGUGCGAGUAGGACUUAUAACAAUAACAUCAACCAUAAUGCUUCAACCCAGUGCUCUGAUUUUCAGUCUUCCAAAACCUUUUACCUAGUUCAUUAAUCCAGGAGACCAAAUGCAUUUUCACACAUAUGAAACAGAAAAGCUCUAAAGCAGAAAUUGAAGAUAGUAGAGAUCCCGACCCACAUCAGUAUUUAACCUUGCAUACUUCAAUGAUUGGUACUUACUUGUUAUAUUAAUAGCCCACAUUUCUUUUGAGUGCAUUUCUUUUGAGACACUCACAGCUGCCUUCUUCAUCUGUUUAUUCUCAGUGCAACUACCCUGUGAGGGAGGUCUGUCGGAGAGAGACCGAAUGGCUCUGUGUCACUCAGUCGGUGUCAUAAUUCAUCAGGAAACAGAAUAGGAUCACCUUUCCCACACCCUAACCAGUGGUUCCAAAAGGUUUUGGCAUCACAUCCCCUUUUCUACUCUUGAGAAGCCCUUGUGCU
ensembl:lncRNA